rnacentral:lncRNA from 1 species
GACAAAAAUAUUAAGGUAUUUAGUAUGAGUUUGCGUUAUAUUCGUAUAAAUAGCAAAUAGUUUGAUUACUUAUUAAAGUGUUUCUAUGAGAUUGCGUUUCGAUCCUUUGUAAUGUCUUAUUUCUUUACUUUUUAAAUUAUUUAAUACACAUGAGCAUUUUUGUUUUUCUAUGGGCACCAAACUAUUUCUUAAUUAUUUUUUAUAAGAAUUUCCCAAUUAUUAUUUGUCCCUACAUAUAUUCAAAUUGAAAAAAAAAACUAGUUGUGUUCUCUUGAUCACAUAGUUGUCCUUCUCUUCGGCUGUAGUCCACAUAUAUUAUUUUAUAAUCCUGAUAUUUAUCAUUGUUAAUAAAAUUAAUUAGUGUGUAAAAGAUGUCUAUUAAUUAAUCUACAGAAGACAUCAUUUGAAUUUCGCCCCAGGCAAUUGAAAACUCAAGACUGGCCUUGAAGCUAGUUCAAAAUGUUUUACAAUUUUAAUAUAUUACGUUGUUAGAAUACUCAAAGUAGUUUAUUCAAAAUUCUAUGUUAUGUUUUUACAUUACUUAAAGUUAUUGUUUAUGUGAAAUCAUGUUUUAGGAUAUGGCCUUGAUUUAUAAAGUUUGUUAAAAUAACAAAUCAAAACGCAAUAACAUGUUAAAUCCAAAAAUGAGAUUAUCAAUAUCUUCAUGUCGACUCAAACAUGAAACGAUUAGUCAAUUCGAAUGCACACGUACUAAAUGUGGUAUGUGAUUAAACCGUUUAAUAUUCAUAAGUAUAAAAUGACAUGUAAAUAUGAUAUUUCAUCAAUAGUAUAGUUGAUGCAACUGAGCACUUCAGUAGUAAGGUUAUACUAAUCUUCCCAAGACCAAUAACAAUACAGUUUAUUUUUUAAUUGAACAUGACCAAUUAUAAAAUCAAAGAUGAAAUUAGAUGCAAGAUUAUUUGGGGCCACAUAUUAAAUAGGUUACCCAAUAGAAUUGUUAUAGUGACUUAUUGGUCCUUAAGUGUAAUGGAAGGUCUAAUUUUUUUUAUUCAACCAUUUUCACUAUGAGGCUAUAUUUGAUGAUAUCCUUCUAGAGACUUGGCUCUUCUUAUUUGAUAUGUCCUCGUCCAUAGGAAUUUGACAUGCUUUCAAGUAUUGAGGAACUAGAACUAUAUGAAUAAUUAAUUUUUUUUUUUAACGGUGUUGCUAAGUCUACACAGCCUAGCCUUUUACAUCAUCCUCUUUAAUCACAACACUAGCUAGUGCAUAUCAUUAGAAGUUUGAUGUUGCUUUAAGCAAUACUAGCAUCAGUCAUUCAUGUAGUUGUAAGUUGUAACGACUGUAAGACUGUAAGUUGUCAAUGCACUACAAAUAAGCUACAAUUAUUUACGGAUGUGUAAGCGACUAAUAUAUUAAAGACAAGUCUAUUGAAGACAAUUAUUAUAGAUGGACCAAGUGUUUCUUUAUGCCCUUGGCAUUGGAGCCAAUAUGGAAAUGAUAGUGGCAUAUGCCCUUAUCAUAUUUCAUAAAGUUUCCUUGUAAUUUCAUGGAUCUAAAGUUUGAAUUAUAGAGUAUAAUCAAGCAAGGACUCUCUAUGUUCUUCAAUCAAUUUGGAUAAGCUUUAAACUAAGGUGGUCACCAAUGAAAUGCAGUCAAAAACCAACAAAAGAUCACACUAUGUAGUCUUCCAUCUUAUAUGCAAAAGCUAUAAAUUAAAUUAAUGCCUUGAUAGGCAAAGCAUAUAGCUAGGGUUAGUGGUUCGUUUAGGUAAAUAGAGUGGAUCUCUAAGUUUUUUUUUUUUUAAGUGCGGCAAAGCAAUGAGGGAAGCUUGAUUUGGAAAAGUGCCAACAUAAAAAUAAGGGUAGUGAUAUCCACACAUUAAUUUUUAUUUCUCAAACAUUCUUUUUAAUUUUCAACAAUCAGAUUAAAUAAAUUGAAAAAAAAUCAAUGAUAAAAAAUUUAGUGCAAGACGUAAAAGUGAGUUUAUGGAUAGCACUUUCCAAAAACAAAGAUGCUGAUGGAUGCUUUGCAUGCCUUGCUUAAAAGGAGGGUUUCUCCUUCACUUUCUUUUGAGUUUUUUUUUCCUUUAAAAGCAAUUAGCUUUGGAUUUUUCGUUUUCAUGGCCUUAUUACUCUUAUUUAAGACCAGGUAAUGCCUAACUUUUUUCGAAGGGGAACCAUCAGAAAAGCCCCCACGUCUGAACCACCAUGAAAAAGUAGUCUAAUUUCUUGCAUAAAAAUGACCAAGUGGCCGAAAGGAAAACAUCACAAGUUUUUCGUUGGUUUAAUUGUAGCAAUAGUCCAUGAAUUUUAUUUAUAGUUCAAUGUCUAGGUGUGAGAAGCUAGCAAUAGCUACUUAGU